GCGGAAAUUCACGCUUCCCGCAACAGGCUCCUUGCCAAGGAGAAGGUCGCGAGUUCGAAUCUCGUCUUCCGCU
rnacentral:tRNA from 1 species